UCAUCAACAAGGUCAGAUCUAUUUCCACGUGAAUUUGUGGAUGAGCUAGCAAAGUUGCAGGUAUAGAUUCUUUGACAUGAAAUGGUAAGUGUUGAUUCUUAGAUCAAUGUAUUCUGAAUAUAAGAUUGUUCUUGACAGGACAAGGUCCCUGUCUUCUCUCCAAAGAAAGCAAAAAGCUUCAUUGAGAGUGAAUUGGGAGCUUCCAUUAGCUUACUGUUUAGGGAGUUCGAAGAUCGGCCAAUAGCCGCUGCUAGUCUUGGUCAGGUAGCAUAAGAUCAGCCUGCUGCUUACUUUCUCUGAGGAUUGAUAUGAUCCAGUGCUUCUCUAUGUGGAUGAGAAGAAAAUAGCAGCUUGGUAUAAGAAGUGAGGACCUAGAAGAUUCAUUGGAGUUGUUGAUAAAGGCUUGUAGCAUGUCCCUUUCAUUUCCAAGGCUUGUGAUUCCAGCAGCAAUCUAUGGUAUUUCGGUUCUGUCCCAUCAGUAUUUUACCAAUGAUUUCUUUGAUUUUUAGAUUGAGCAUUAAGAUCCAGUUGCAUCUGAUGCAUUCCAUGAAUGGUAACCGCCAAUGAUUCAGAUUAAGUCUCCAUUUGGAACUGGGAACACCGCCAAUGCUGAUCUGCUCUCUGCUCGCCCAGUCUUCGUCACUGCCUUUAUAAGAUAAUUUUGGAGAUGUGAAUGAAGAUUGAGAUAUUUAUCAUGAUAGUUUAUUGGCAAAGAUAGAGUGUUCGAAAUUGAAAGAUGUAUGGUUGAUGAUGAUGUCUUUUAUUAGAAGAUACAUUUAUAUGAUAUAAUAUUUUGGUCAUUCCUAGUUUAGUAGUAGUAAACUCUAAGUACAUUAUAUGAGUAUGCUUAUUCUAGUUUGAGAUAUAUGAAUACUCGAAAUUAUGAUUAUCCCAAUAUUUUUGGUUC